AACGAACGCUGGCGGCAUGCCUAACACAUGCAAGUCGAACGAGACCUUCGGGUCUAGUGGCGCACGGGUGCGUAACGCGUGGGAACCUGCCCUUAGGUUCGGAAUAACUCCCCGAAAGGGGUGCUAAUACCGGUUAAUGUCUUCGGACCAAAGAUUUAUCGCCUUUGGAUGGGCCCGCGUUGGAUUAGCUAGUUGGUAGGGUAAAAGCCUACCAAGGCGACGAUCCAUAGCUGGUCUGAGAGGAUGAUCAGCCACACUGGGACUGAGACACGGCCCAGACUCCUACGGGAGGCAGCAGUGGGGAAUAUUGGACAAUGGGCGAAAGCCUGAUCCAGCAAGGCCGCGUGAGUGAUGAAGGCCUUAGGGUUGUAAAGCUCUUUUACCCGGGAUGAUAAUGACAGUACCGGGAGAAUAAGCUCCGGCUAACUCCGUG
rnacentral:rRNA from 1 species